GGGGGUGUGCCGCUAGCGCCACGCUGAUCCUAGACAGGUUUUAACCCCUUUAACUUAGAAUUAUUUAACAGACUUGUGUUAAUAACUGUUUGUUAGAGAGAUAGUAAACCUAGGCUAGAACAAGUAUAGUUCAAUAUUCUCUGGUCUGAUGAAACCAAGAUUGAACUCUUUGGCCUGAGUGCCAAGCGGCGCGUCUGGAGGAAACCUUGCACCAUCCCUACGGUGAAGCAUGAUGGUAGCAGCAUCAUGCUGUGGGGAUGUUUUUCAGUGGCAGGGACUGUGAGACUAGUGAGGUUCGAGGCAAAGAUGAACGGAGCAAAGUACAGAGACCCUUGAUGAAAACCUGCUCCAGAGCGCUCAGGACCUCAGACUGGGGUGAAAGUUCACUUUCCAACAGGACAAUGACCCUAAGCACAUAGCCAAGACAAUGCAGGAGUGGCUUCAGGACAAGUCUCUGAAUGUCCUUGAGUGGCCCAGACUUGAACCCGAUCUACCAUUUCUGGAGAGACCUGAAAAUAGCUGUGCAGCUACGCUCCCCAUCCAACCCGACAGAGCUUGAGAGGAUCUGCAGAGAGGAAUGGGAGAAACUCCCCAAAUAAGCUUGUAGCAUUAUACCCAAGAAGACUCAAGGCUGAAAUCGCUGCCAAAUGUGCUUUAACAAAGUACUGAGUAAAGGGUCUGAAUACUUGUGUAAAUGUGAUAUUUCAGUUUUAUAAUUAUUAAUAAAUUAGCAAUAAUUUCUAAAAACCUGUUUUUGCUUUGUUAUUAUCGGGUAUUGUGUGUAGAUUGAGGAAGGGAUUUAAAAAUAAAACAUUUUUUUUUUUUAUAGAAUAAGGCUGUAAUGUAACAAAAUGUUGAAAAAGUCAAGGGGUCUGAAUACUUUCGGAAGGCACUGUAACUCAAAGCUAGAGUGAAAACAGGGCAUUGCGGCGGAAACUACAUGUACUGGAACUGAAGGGGGCAUGAUAGCGUGUCCUCGCCAGUUGUCCCAGUACUGUCAAGAUCGUCGACCGAUAAACUAUCAAAAUAAAGAGUGUCAGACCCUGAAGAAGGCACAGGGAUGCCGAAACGUUGGUGAUUUACCUAAUAAAUGACCAGAGUUUAUAUAUGUAGUGUCUCUCUUUAUUUUGAUAGUUUAUUAGCCGUUAGUGAGCACUUCCACACAAAAUCAUUUUUCUGGGUGUGCGCCUACUCGUGUUUUUUAUUCUAAGAUCCUCGACCGAUACAGAGGAAUGGCAAGAGGUACAUUUAGCAGAAGACAGAGGAAUGACAAGAGGUGCAUUUGCCCUGUUCCCCUCUGUGCAUGUUAAUUUAGAUGUGUUAACCACAUAUGGUUCUUGGACAGUUUUUGGAUAGUAUGCAAUAAUUCACCUGAUUACUUAACUAUCUUGCGCAAAGACACAAUAUCAUAUUCUAACCAGAUUCUUGAUUUACUGCAUUUCCUAUUAUUUACUCAUUGAAAACUAUGUGAUACAUGGAGCAUAAUACAUCAAUCAAUAAAUAGUAUAUCAAGAAGUUAUGAGAAGUGUUACCUUACAUCCUGGCCAAUUCUAGACAGUGUCAAUAGUGUACAACAUACCGUUGAGCAUUGACAGUAGCUAACCUAACCACCUCUUUUACCCCAAUCACUCUCUCAAGUGAAGGACAUCUCACUGGAGGCCACAGGAGCUUUGUGAAGCCAGUGGGACACAGUACAUGGAGAGAUGACCAACCAAUCACUGUUGAUGAGGGGAGUGGAACCUCAACCCAGCAUGUUAUCAUGAUAGAGGAUGCCGGUGGGCGGAGUUGGGAGGGUCGUCAGCUACAUGGGGAACACCUGGGCCCACUCUCCCAGGAUAAAAUUACCACUUCCCCAUUCAUCAGGGAGACUCUCUCCAUGUAGACACCUUGUUAGAUUCGGUUAUGUUUCAUGGUGUUUUUUGUUUGUUUGUCUUAGCAUCUUUCAACACCCUGCACUAUCACCUUCAUGCAUGCAAAACAUUCAAUUACACUACUGAUUACUGAUUACACACCCCAUUGUAUAUUAAACCUAGUUUCGUUAGUUAAAUAAAUAUAUUUUGUUACUCCUGA